UACGUAGGGGGCAAGCGUUAUCCAGAUUUACUGGGUGUAAAGGGAGCGUAGACGGUGUGGCAAGUCUGAUGUGAAAGGCAUGGGCUCAACCUGUGGACUGCAUUGGAAACUGUCAUACUUGAGUGCCGGAGGGGUAAGCGGAAUUCCUAGUGUAGCGGUGAAAUGCGUAGAUAUUAGGAGGAACACCAGUGGCGAAGGCGGCUUACUGGACGGUAACUGACGUUGAGGCUCGAAAGCGUGGGGAGCAAACAGG
rnacentral:rRNA from 1 species